GACGAACGCUGGCGGCGUGCCUAAUACAUGCAAGUAGAACGCUGAAGGAGGAGCUUGCUUCUCUGGAUGAGUUGCGAACGGGUGAGUAACGCGUAGGUAACCUGCCUGGUAGCGGGGGAUAACUAUUGGAAACGAUAGCUAAUACCGCAUAAUAUUGACUAUUGCAUGAUAGUCAGUUGAAAGGUGCAACUGCACCACUACCAGAUGGACCUGCGUUGUAUUAGCUAGUUGGUGGGGUAACGGCUCACCAAGGCGACGAUACAUAGCCGACCUGAGAGGGUGAUCGGCCACACUGGGACUGAGACACGGCCCAGACUCCUACGGGAGGCAGCAGUAGGGAAUCCUCGGCAAUGGACGGAAGUCUGACCGAGCAACGCCGCGUGAGUGAAGAAGGUUUUCGGAUCGUAAAGCUCUGUUGUAAGAGAAGAACGAGUGUGAGAGUGGAAAGCUCACACUGUGACGGUAUCUUACCAGAAAGGGACGGCUAACUACGUG
rnacentral:rRNA from 1 species